UGGGGAAUAUUGGACAAUGGGCGAAAGCCUGAUCCAGCCAUGCCGCGUGUGUGAAGAAGGUCUUCGGAUUGUAAAGCACUUUAAGCAGGGAGGAAGGGCAGUAAGCGAAUACCUUGCUGUUUUGACGUUACCGACAGAAUAAGCACCGGCUAACUCUGUGCCAGCAGCCGCGGUAAUACAGAGGGUGCAAGCGUUAAUCGGAAUUACUGGGCGUAAAGCGCGCGUAGGUGGUUCGUUAAGUUGAAUGUGAAAGCCCCGGGCUCAACCUGGGAACGGCAGCCGAAACUGGCGAGCUAGAGUAGGGCAGAGGGUGGUGGAGUUUGCUGGGUAGCGGUGAAAUGCGUAGAUAUAGGAAGGAACAACAGUGGCGAAGUCGACCACCUGGGCUCAUACUGACUCUGAGGUGCGAAAGCGUGGGGAGCAAACAGG
rnacentral:rRNA from 1 species